UCUGGGGCCACCCCGACCUGCUGAGGAAGGAUGGCCUUCAUCCUAACCGUGAAGGCGCCUUCACUCUUUCAAGGAAUAUAGAUUUCUGUUUGAGACAUUCAUGACAGGUCACUUUAGAGCAGGCCGGGUCACAAGUGACUAGGCCACCUGUUAGGAUGGGUUUGGAGUCUGUUAAGUUAAAGUUAACUAGCGCUAGGCUAGAUUCCCAGCAUGCACAUAGCUUCUUGUGGAGACUCGAGCGUCACAGUUUGAAUAGUGCUACAGUAUACAUUGACACACUUUCUACUGAGGUAGUAGACACAUCCAAUCACUCCACCCUGACCGGUCACGUUGAUGGAACGGUGCCUGUUCCAGAUAAUAUUACAUGUUUGCCGAAUAUUAACUAUCAAAUUCCUAUGGUUGUAUCUAACCGCCGCGCUAAUAAACAUUUUAGAGCAGUGGUUCUUAGUCUG